rnacentral:rRNA from 1 species
AUGAAAUUUUCCGUGAGGUUUAUAAGCAAAUGGUUGCCGCUAGAAAAUAAUAAGUAAGAUAAAAAAGAACCUACAUAUGUAGGUUCUUUUUUGGUUUAUAGAAAAUCUUUUAAUU